UCAAAGGUCAAAACUAUGGGUGUCUCGC
rnacentral:sRNA from 1 species